GCCAGAGCUGGGCCCUGGGCCCUUCGGGGGCCCUGAGGUGAAGAGAAGCAGCAACGGCCAACUGGGAGAUGGCUACCGAGGCCACUGCCCUCUUGGAAAAUGCUGAGCACUGGAGCCUGUCCCCUGCCUGUCCUGGGGGCCUCUGAGUCACAGCCUGCCCCACGGGACAAGGAAGGUGCAAGCCUCGGGCUUGUUUUGCUGCUGCCUAGCCUGGGGUCUCCUCUGGGCUAGACGCAUGAAUAAAGGCAAUAUGCUCCCGUUUGCUUCUGUGUUCCGUGCAGGGGGCUGCUGAUGGGUGGGGGUGGCAUGGGCCUGCAGACACCACCCAGCACCUCACUUAUCACUCA